rnacentral:rRNA from 1 species
UCUACCUUAUGCUGAGGGAUAGCCCAGAGAAAUUUGGAUUAAGACCUCAUGGUAUCGGAGAACGGCAUCGUUUUCUGAUUAAAGGUUACGGCAUAAGAUGAGUAUGCGUCCCAUUAGCUAGUUGGUGUGGUAACGGCACACCAAGGCAACGAUGGGUAGGGGUCCUGAGAGGGAGAUCCCCCACACUGGUACUGAGACACGGACCAGACUCCUACGGGAGGCAGCAGUGAGGAAUAUUGGACAAUGGACGAAAGUCUGAUCCAGCCAUGCCGCGUGCAGGAAGACGGUCCUAUGGAUUGUAAACUGCUUUUAUACGGGAAGAAUAAGGGCUACGUGUAGCCCGGUGACGGUACCGUAAGAAUAAGGAUCGGCUAACUCCGUGCCAGCAGCCGCGGUAAUACGGAGGAUCCAAGCGUUAUCCGGAAUCAUUGGGUUUAAAGGGUCCGUAGGCGGACUAUUAAGUCAGGGGUGAAAGUCUGCAGCUCAACUGUAGAAUUGCCUUUGAUACUGGUAGUCUUGAGUUAUGGUGAAGUGGCUAGAAUAUGUAGUGUAGCGGUGAAAUGCAUAGAUAUUACAUAGAAUACCGAUUGCGAAGGCAGGUCACUAACCAUACACUGACGCUGAUGGACGAAAGCGUGGGGAGCGAACAGGAUUAGAUACCCUGGUAGUCCACGCCGUAAACGAUGGAUACUAGCUGUUCGGACUUCGGUCUGAGCGGCCAAGCGAAAGUGAUAAGUAUCCCACCUGGGGAGUACGUUCGCAAGAAUGAAACUCAAAGGAAUUGACGGGGGCCCGCACAAGCGGUGGAGCAUGUGGUUUAAUUCGAUGAUACGCGAGGAACCUUACCAGGGCUUAAAUGUGGUCUGACAGCUUUAGAGAUAGAGCCUUCUUCGGACAGAUCACAAGGUGCUGCAUGGUUGUCGUCAGCUCGUGCCGUGAGGUGUCAGGUUAAGUCCUAUAACGAGCGCAACCCCUGUGGUUAGUUGCCAGCGAGUAAUGUCGGGAACUCUAGCCAGACUGCCGGUGCAAACCGUGAGGAAGGUGGGGAUGACGUCAAAUCAUCACGGCCCUUACGUCCUGGGCCACACACGUGCUACAAUGGCCGGUACAGAGAGCAGCCACCUGGCGACAGGGAGCGAAUCUAUAAAACCGGUCACAGUUCGGAUCGGAGUCUGCAACUCGACUCCGUGAAGCUGGAAU